rnacentral:rRNA from 1 species
AUGGGCGCAAGCCUGAUGCAGCGACGCCGCGUGAGGGAUGACGGCCUUCGGGUUGUAAACCUCUGUUAGCAUCGAAGAAGCGAAAGUGACGGUAGGUGCAGAGAAAGCGCCGGCUAACUACGUGCCAGCAGCCGCGGUAAUACGUAGGGCGCGAGCGUUGUCCGGAAUUAUUGGGCGUAAAGAGCUUGUAGGCGGUUGGUCGCGUCUGCUGUGAAAGGCUGGGGCUUAACCCUGGUUUUGCAGUGGGUACGGGCUAACUAGAGUGCAGCAGGGGAGACUGGAAUUCCUGGUGUAGCGGUGGAAUGCGCAGAUAUCAGGAGGAACACCGAUGGCGAAGGCAGGUCUCUGGGCUGUAACUGACGCUGAGAAGCGAAAGCAUGGGGAGCGAACAGGAUUAGAUACCCUGGUAGUCCAUGCCGUAAACGUUGGGCACUAGGUGUGGGGGACAUUCCACGUUUUCCGCGCCGUAGCUAACGCAUUAAGUGCCCCGCCUGGGGAGUACGGCCGCAAGGCUAAAACUCAAAGAAAUUGACGAAGGCCCGCACAAGCGGCGGAGCAUGCGGAUUAAUUCGAUGCAACGCGAAGAACCUUACCAAGGGCUUGACA